AUGCCUACUAUCGAGCUGAACUCCAAUACUUGCAUCCGCCACCCUAACGCUGGCGUGUUCCCUCAGUCCUCUCUCGACAAAUCCAACAGUACAGGUUCUCCGGUGCGCCAAGUAUUGCCUGUGGCGAUGCCUGCAUCAUGGCCAAUUGAGGAGAUCUUGUGUAUUCCACAUAGAAGAAAUAUUGUCAGUUCAAGAAUAGAGAAUUUCUGUACCAGACUUAAUAUUAGUUUGGUGCGUAUUCUAUCUUCAGUCCAUGAAAAAUCACAGAAUAGUUGGUGCGUGUGUAGAAAAAUCGUCGGUGCAAGUUUCAAAAUUCUGUAA
rnacentral:rRNA from 1 species